rnacentral:rRNA from 1 species
AACGAACGCUGGCGGCAUGCCUAACACAUGCAAGUCGAACGAACCCAUCGGGUCUUGUGUCGUACGGCUGCGUAACGCGUGGGAUCCUUCCCUCAGGUUUGGCCUACCUCUCCGACUGGGGUGCCUAUACCGGAUAAUGUCUUCUGCCCAAUGAUUUAUCGCCUUUGGUUGUGCUGGAGUUGGAUUAGCUUGUUGUUAGGGUAAAAGCCUACCACGGCGACAAUCCAUAGAUGGGCAGAGAGGAUGAUCAGCCACACUGGGACGAAGACCCGGCCCAGACUCCUACGGGAGGCAGCAGUGGGGAAUAGUGGAAAAUGGGGGAAAGCAUGAUGCAGCAAUGCCGGGAGAGUGAUGAAGGUAGGAGAGUAGUAAAGCGCUUGUAACCGGGAAGAUAAUGACAGUACCGAGAGAAUAAGCUACGGCUAACUCCGUG